UACAUGGUUUAGCAUGGCAACAUUGUAUCGUCCCUAGCCACCCUCCUUAAUUUGUCCCCGCAGUAAAACAUAUCACGCUAAAUUUUACAGUGAAUUUCACCCUAAAUAUAACCAUUUCAUUCAGGCACCAACCUCUUCAAUAUCCCAUUGAAUUACGUUGUACUUAGCAAUUAUGGAGAGACGUAAUUACACGGCGAUGUUGCUUCUCGUUUUUGCGACCGUCCAGAUUUAUUCCUCCCUCGAAGGUGUCAACAUCGACGAGGACGACUUCUGGGGUUUAAUAUUCGUGAAUUUUCUUUAGGCCCAAGAUGGUUUGGCAGCGAUCGGAUCGAAUGGAAUCGCAGCCGAAAACGAGUCGAGCGUUGAUCUUCCGUCCGGAGAUGAAGAAGAGAAACAUUCAUUUUUACCGGUGAAAUCUGUCGGUCAGGCCGACAAAAGGAUAAGAAGGACACCGGGAGCAUCGAAGAACGCUAAUAAGAAGUUGGAGAAACUAAAAAAAGCGUUGGAAAACAACCAUGUAACACCGAUCGUGUCGCGACCCGAAGAUAUAGCGCGUACCCAACGCAACGAUCUGUUAAGAGAAUUUGAAAGAAUAGUAGCAAGGUUAAUGGAACAAAGGAGGAUAAGCAGGGAGCUGGCGACCGUGCAGGCAAUGCUCGAAAAUGAGGGAUUGGUUAACCAAAUAGUUGAAGCACAUGACUGAAUUAUUCUUGUACCUAGUUCUCAAAGAGUUCUCACAAUUCUUGCAGUAAGAUGAUUAAAUUUGGGUUUCAAAAGCACAGGCAUUUUCUAAUUUUGUUUUAUUUCGUUUUUAUUAUGAAAUUUAUUAAUGUUUUGUGAAGCGACGCACGAAAAACGGCUUUUAGGAGUGUUGCUAUCGGGUAGAAAAAAUUGCGUCAUUUAGAAGGAGAAUAUUAAAUUAAAAAAGUCUCACUUCCAUAAUAUUAUCAAAAAUCGACCAAUAUUCUCAAUUGUAAAGUUGAAAUAAAAAAGCACAAAAUUAUCGCAGGGCUAUAAAGCACUCCUUGCCUUUUCGUUCACUUACAAGGAAAAACCGUCGCUCAUCCUCGAAUCGCGUUUAAAAACUUCGUGAUCGAUCACGAAAAUAAGUA